CCCGUCACAUCACGAAAGUGGAUUGUACUAGAAGUCUGCGCGCUAACCCGCAAGGGGAGCAGCGGCCCAAGGUAUGAUUCAUGACUGGGGUG
rnacentral:rRNA from 1 species